AUGGCUGAUUUCAGGUCUGGGAUAGAAAAUGUACAAAAUGAAACUGUUGUCCAACUAGACAAUAACAAGAUUAUCAAAGACUACCCAAAUUGUGUUGAAAUCACCAAUUUCUUGGCAAAACCUUCUACAAGAGAUACCAAGCACUAUGUAACUCCUGUUCUUAAAAAAGAAAAAAACAACAUUGAUCAUUGUGUGGCUGGACUCAGCCACCGCUGCGGUGUGAGGCGCGUGUUCGGGCCCUCGCCGUCCCCGCACCGCUCCAGGGCUACUGCCUUGCUGUCCGCAGUCCCACAUCCAGCCUUCGGGACCUCGCCCACCACGGACAAGCCUCGUGUCUACCUAGGACGCCUGAGCUACAAUGCCCGCGCGAAGGACAUCCAGCGCCUUUUCAGCGGCUAAGGCCGCUUCCUCGAAGUAGACCUCAAAAAUGGGUGCUGCUUCGAGGAGUUCCAGGACUUCCCCGACGCCGACGACGCCGUUUAGGAGCUGAACAGCAAGGAGCUCUGCGGCGCGCGCAUGAUCGUGGAGCACGUCCGGGGCCCGCGCCGCGCGCGACGGCUACGGAAGCCGCAGUGGUGGAGGUGGAUACAGCAGUUGAGACAAACAUGGACCUCCUGUUCCUACCGAGUACAGGCUUAUUGUCGAAAAUCUUUCUAGUCGUUGCAGCUGGCAAGAUUUAAAGGAUUUCAUGCAGCAAGCAGGUGAAGUAACAUAUGCAGAUGCUCACAGAGAACGUACAAAUGAAGGUGUAAUUGAAUUUCGCUCCUACUCUGACAUGAAUCGUGCUUUGGAUAAACUGGAUGGUACAGAGAUAAAUGGCAGGAAUAUUAGACUUAUUGAAGAUAAGCCACGAGCAAGCCAUAGGCGGUCUUAUUCUGGAAGCAGAUUUAGGUCACGAUCAAGAAGGAGGUCAAGAAGUAGGAGUUGCAGGAGCAGCCGCAGUAGAUCUCGAAGUUUCUCAAAAAGUCGCUCCCGAACCAGGUCGCGGAGCAAAGGUCGAUCACGUUCUCGAUCAAAAGGCAGGAAAUCUAGAUCAAAAAGCAAAUCUAAGCCCAAGUCUGAUCGGGGUUCCCAUUCACAUUCUCGAAGCAGAUCUAAGGAUGAGUAUAAAAUGUCCCGAAGCAGGUCUCCAUCUCAGUCCCCCAAAGAAAAUGGAAAAGGUGAUAUAAAGUCAAAAUCAAGAUCAAGGAGCCAGACACCCUUCCAAUUCACCCUUCCUGUUCCACCCUCAAAGGCUCCUUCUGUGUUUCCUCUACCAAAAAGAGCUACUUCAAGAUCCUGUUCUAGAUCUCGCUCAAGGUCAAUGUCCAGAUCAAGUUCCAGAGAUUAAACCAGAACUCUACAUUCUUUGCACACUAUUAUGGAACACUUUCCUACUUGCUUAAGCAGUUACUCUUCCAUGUUUAUACUUGGCGUCUUCUGCAAGAGGAAUCUCCUGAGAGCAGGAGCACACAAAAAUUUGAUUUAUGGCCAAAUUUGAUGAAAAAGAUGAGGUUCUAAAAUGGUGGCAUGAAGUCAAAGACCCUCUCCCUUCUUUGUAGAAUUAAGAUAACUUUGAUUUUAUAGCUUUUGAGCUAAAAUA